GAUGAAGAACUUAGCGAAAUGCGAUAAGUAAUGUGAAUUGCAGAAUUCAGUGAAUCAUCGAAUCUUUGAACGCACAUUGCGCCCCCUGGUAUUCCGGGGGGCAUGCCUGUUCGAGCGUCAUUUCACCACUCAAGCCUCGCUUGGUAUUGGGCAACGCGGUCCGCCGCGUGCCUCAAAUCGACCGGCUGGGUCUUCUGUCCCCUAAGCGUUGUGGAAACUAUUCGCUAAAGGGUGUUCGGGAGGCUACGCCGUAAAACAACCCCAUUUCUAAGGUUGACCUCGGAUCAGGUAGGGAUACCCGCUGAACUUAAGCAUAUCAAUAAGCGGAGGA
rnacentral:misc_RNA from 1 species